rnacentral:rRNA from 1 species
UACGAAGGGUGCAAACGUUGCUCGGAAUCAUUGGGUGUAAAGCGCACGUAGGCGGCCUCGCAAGUCUGAUGUGAAAUCCCUCGGCUCAACCGAGGACGUGCAUCGGAAACUGCGGGGCUUGAGUACUGAAGAGGAUCGCGGAAUUCCCGGUGUAGAGGUGAAAUUCGUAGAUAUCGGGAGGAACACCAGUGGCGAAGGCGGCGAUCUGGGCAGAUACUGACGCUGAGGUGCGAAAGCGUGGGGAGCAAACAGG